CACAGUUCCAGCGGAAUGUUUUGUUGAAGCUUCACGAUUGCUGAGACCUGCCAAACGUACCUGGAUAUAAAAGUGAACAUUUCGCUUUUCAGAGGAGGCUGAAAAGCACUCCACUACCAUAAGAACAUUUUGAUUGACUACAGAGGCUCAUAUUGCAGAUAUUUGCAAGAUGUCAAGCUUGCCAAUGGGUCACCAUGUAGGCAUACCGAAACCACAGCAGCAACAGAAUGACCUGGGUUAUGCACGGCAAUAUCAUGAUAGUAUGGUUGGAGAUCAUUACACCGCCUCACAACUUGGGGCUUACCAAAACUAUCAACAUAGAUUAAUGUACAAUACGUUAACGGCCCAAGCCAAUCAGCCGUCUGUCCCCAGGACAAUGCAUGGAGGUUAGUAGUGUUCUUAGUUGAUCUUGUUGUUGAGUCAUUGAAAGAAACAACUAACAUCAUCGAUUAACUUCAUUUUCUCUUUUUUCCAAGUCUAGUCUAGUGUGCUUUCAUGUACAUGUAUUUGUAGUUGAUUUGCAUUAUGUGUUAAACUUGUAUGAAUGUUGUGCAUAUGGUUCCCAUUCUAUUUAUUCACAGAUUUGUUUACCCUUUAUUCAUUGUCCCUCUUGUGAAUUGUCUGGUCUUUGGAUAUGAAGUCAAUCUUCAAAGAAAUCUAAACUUCUUUGUGUAGGUUGACAUGAAGCUUGGCUCUGUGAAGAUUUGUUUCUCCUAUGAUAAUACAUGUAAUUCAUUUUCCCCUUUUCAGUGCUUGUAUAUGUUUGCUUUGAAAGAAACACAUACUUCUUUAAUUCAGAUACUUACCAAAUUAAAUCCAUGAUGUUAAUUCUCUGACAUGAACAUUUAGUUUGCUCUCUGGUGAUGAUUUUGUACCCAGAAUGGUGGCUUUUAAAGGUGUUAAUUAAACAAAAAAUGAAAAGGUUAAAAAAGUUAGCAGGAUUCAGAACCUUAAAAGAUGGAUUUGUCACAGAGAACUUUUUUGACAUCCCACUCAAGUAUUUAACUAUGCGUAAACCUCACCACUUAUCAGAAAUAGAGUAUCACUUGCUUCUACUAUUCAAAUAUUUUGCCCACAGUGAAUAAUAAUUUUUAUAAUAUUUAAACAUGUAAACAGUCAUUGCAAAUUUGAUUCAGUACCCCCACCCUCCUGCAAGUAAUAUAUCUCAAAUAAUAAACUAAUUUAUGAAUCAUUUUAUGUAUUUAGAGUUAAUGCUAUAAACUUGUUACUAUAUUCUCUAAAGAUAUGAGACUGUUGACCUUUGCUUCAAAUAUUGCAAUCCUGGCAGCAGUUCCAGAUACCUUGAAUCACACUCCUACAGUGUCAAAUGCGUUCAUGAAUCUGAUGUUAACCUAAUAAGCAGCGGUUAAUUUCAGGGAGACAGAGGGAGAAGAAAUUGAAUCCAGGGAAUCCAGUAAUAUGGCCUAAGCUGCCUGUUGGUGUCAAGCAAAAAAUAAGAACAAAAAGAAAAUGGGGGAAAACAAAAUCAUUAAAAAGGGGGGAAACUCAUGGGGAAAACAAAGAGUGAAUAAGAGAGAUAGAGAAGGAGAGGGGAAAUAAAAAAGAGAGCUAGUGAGGGAAUUCAAUUUGAAGAUCUAGAGCAUCAUUUUUAAUCCCCAAAGUCCAGCACCUUCUGAAAAGUAAGAGGUUUUACGUCAUCCAGAUUCAAAUUCAUCACCUGAGAUAGAUUUUACACCACUAUGACAAUCUUCAAGAAUCACAUGUUCAUCUGCGAGUUUAUUUGUUUCUGAAUUUUGUGAGUGAGUUGAGAGAUGACACUGUCAAUGUGAUAUAAAUUCUAAAUGAAAUUUUGAUAUAGUAAGUAAUUAGCUGGUAACCAGCUCCUGGGAAAAUUGCUCCUCCGCUAACUUCUCUGAAGGUACAUGUAUAUUUACAUAAGAUGAGGUUUAGCAUUGUGAUAGGGUUUUUUGGUUCAGAAUCAUGUGAGGAUUAGGUUAAAUUUGGGUUUAUGUUGGGCUUAAUGUGUAAUUUUUGAUAGCAGUUAUUUCAGGAGUAAAUAGGUGGUUUCAAACCGCCUCGAUCACAAGAAUCCCCGUUAAAUUACGAGAACUUUUUUAGGCUGAAAAAUACCCAUUAAUUAUUCCUGCAUUCACACCGCCCUGAAACAUACCCUUCGGGAUAAGUUCCUGAAGUUACGAGCAUGCGCAGUAUGGUCUGAUAAGCAGCAAGGCGCGAAAUUCAAAAUCACUAGCCCAGCAGCAACCCAUGCACGGCGCCGCACCCAACGACACGCUGGGCUAAAAGUUCCCGUAAUUUGCUUUCAGACCGCCAAAAUACCCACGACCUUGAAAAAAUCCCCGCGAAAGUUCUCGUAAUUUCGCCAAGUACCUACUAUUUAUCGGGUAUUUUCUUUCGGGGAUAUUACGCGUAGUUUGCUUUCACACCGCCAAAAUACCUGGUAUUUUCUGAUCGGGGUAAAUUUCCCGAUCAGAGAAUACCUGGAACUGGCAAACUUCGAGGCGGUCUGAAACCACCUAUUGUCAUGGAUCCUAUCAGCUUGCUGCCAAAUAAUUCAAUCAGUCCUCUUGAUAAAUAUUAGUAUGUUUGGGCAUUUCGAGUCCAGUGUUAUGGUUCAAAAUGUUGCAAAUAGGUAAACAAAUGAUGUACCUACAUGUACAAUUAUCAUGGUAUACAUGUCAUUGUCUAAAUAUUUAAGUGUCUGGAUUAUCCUGUAUACAUGUACAUGUAUGUACUAGUUAAUAAUGCAAAAAAUAUUAUCUUGAAAAGGAGAAAGAAAGGAUGUUAAAGGGUUGAGUCAAUUUCUGGAAACUCCUCUUGUUUUUAUUCAAUUAUUCAAUAAUUGUAGGAGCAUACAUAUACACCUGUACGCUUUUUUUGUAGUCUUACAAAUACAGUAUCGUUUCAUGGGACGUUAUUAGGGCUGAGUCAUCAUGUUUAUUUGAAAAAAAAAACGUUUAAACAUAAAUAAAUGGGCAGGGCGGUUACAUUUAACGUUGUGUAAAUGGGAGAAAAAAUUUCAAAAAAUGAAAUCACUGAAAAACUCCCUUAAAAUUGCCAAAAUAUUCCCAAAUUCAUACCAUACUGUUUUUUAAAUGAAUUAAGAAUGUAUAUUUCAGUAAUAAAUAUUUCUAAUUUGAAUGUAAAAUGAAGUGAAACUGGAAUAUUUCCAUUAAAAAUAUAGAAAAUUCGCAUUUUCAAGUCUAGAUCUAGCACCAAUGUGAGUAUGUGGGGACAAAUAAAAGUCAUAUGGUAUGGUCUGUGGAUCGUUCAACUUGCAUCCUGUCCUAAAAUGCGGAUAAAUUUGAUUGCCUGUCAAUAUUUCCCUAUUUUGUGACAGUUGAUGAAAGUAUUUACUUACCAAAGUAAAAAAAUAUAUUCCAAAAUCAUCACUUAAAAUAAACUUUUUCAUGCAAGCAGCCAUCUUGGAAUCUGACAUCUAUUCAUUCAAUGUCAAGCUUUACUUUAAAUUCUUCCCCAUGCACUGCAAAUGCAAUGUGAAAGCUUAUCCAAUGUAGCAGAUUUAUUCAGUAGAUCAUGAAAUGUAGCCCCUGAAAACGGAAAAUUAAUAUUUGCCCAUGCCCCACCCCUAAAAAAGUUUAGCAUUUACUGCACCCUUAACAGGUUUAAGGAAAUCUUGGCUCGUGAGAAAAGGGUAUUAGUUUUCAGUGGUUUCUACUCUGUAUCUUUAUUCAAAUUUUCAUGUGUAUGUAAUACAAUUAUCUGAUUUACAGUCAUUUAGCUUUGUAUUUGAAAUUUGUAGCUGAUCAAAUAUUUCGCUCUUCUUUUUUGUUGUUGCUGGCAGGGAGAAGGGAUUAAUGACGAUUAAAACAGAAGAGCUAAAGUAAUUAUGUGCUUCAAAUCUAUAGCUGAAAGAGAGAAAAAGGGAAAUUAAUCUAUACGACUUUAUUCGUGUAACUACUGCGAACAGAUUUUGGCAAUGUAAUACAAAAAUAUCCCAUUUUAAAUUGGGAAUUGAUUAAAAUGCCAUCGUGCAGUACAAUGCAUUCUUUGUAGAUUUUGGCCCGUCUAGCAGGCUAGCUGUGCAUGUACCAGCAUAUAUUUCUUCUCCAUCAUAAUUGAUGAACAUGAAUGAAUUGAUGAUGAGAUUCAAAGUGCGCUAGGGAUACUUCAUAAUGCAUGAGCGUCACAUAUCUACUGUAGUAUAUAUUUUCUACACAGAGGUAAAUAAUUCAUGCACAAUGUGUUCUAUAUAUAGUAGCCCCUCUCUCAUCCUUAACAACAACAAUAACUUGGAGGAACAAUUAUUGAGAGUAGCCUCCAGAAAAUGGUUAUUGGUAUUUUUUAUGCUCUAAAUUGCACAUGCAUGUGUUUAUUUUCCCCCCAGUCUUUUCAAGAGCAGUAACAUAGUUUCAUGAAUGCAACUUGAUAAAGAAUUUUUUUGGCCUGUUAGGAGAAGGCCUACGUGUACUUAAGUCGGAGGCAGAUAUUUUCCUUCUUAUGCAGACAUGAAUACUAAACAGAGCAAUACAAGUACAAGAAACAUUUAAUCAAUUGCAAGUCAUUGUACAUCCCAAUUACUUAUCAUGAGUCUUGCAAUAAAUUAUUUUUGUAUUUAAAUGUUGGUCUGCUUCUUUGCAGUAAAAACAAAUUCCAACUUCAUUUGCUACAGAAUUAGGUUGAUCUAUCAAUUUUGAAUUUAUAGUUAAUUGCAACACCCCCUGAAAUUUUAUUGUCAAUAAUAUGAAAAGUGUUAUAUAUUCAUAUGUUUCUGGUACUUAAUAGAUCAUGUACAUGUAUGUAGAUGUUGUUGUAAGAUAUAAUUCUAGAAUAUCUCAUAAAAACAAAAUGAAUGCGAGGCAAAUACAUGCAGGGAGGGAAGGGGGGGUGGUUAAAGACCUACAUUGGUAGCGUCUUUUGGUUUUAGAUAUUUCUAUCCUCUAUCAUUGCUAUUUUGUAAGAUUAAAAAGUCAUGAGUAGGUACAUGUUUUUGCCAUCAUACAUUGCUGUAAUGAUAGCCAAAAUCAGGUAAAUUAUAACUUU